rnacentral:tRNA from 1 species
GGAGCUCAGUGGUAGAGUACUUGCUUAGCAUGCAUGAGACCCUGAGUUCAAUGCUCAGUCCA